rnacentral:rRNA from 1 species
UAACACGACUAGCCAAGUCGAACGGGGUCGUUAGUGUCGGAAGUUUCGGUAUGGAAGGAUUAAGACUAGUGGUCGGACGGGUGAGUAACGCGUGGGUAACCUGCCCUGGUACAGGGGGAGUAACGAGUUGGAACGGACUGCUAAACCGCAUAACAUGGAGAUACCGCAUGAUAUUUCCAUCAAAUAGUUUAUAGGUACAGGACUGGGCCCGCGUCUGAUUAGCCAGUUGGCAGGGUAAUGGCCUACCAAAGCGACGAUCAGUAGCCGGCUUGAGAGAGUGACCGGCCACAUUGGGACUGAGACACGGCCCAAACUCCUACGGGAGGCAGCAGUGGGGGAUAUUGCACAAUGGGGGAAACCCUGAUGCAGCGACGCCGCGUGAGUGAAGAAGUAUUUCGGUAUGUAAAGCUCUAUCGGCAGGGAAGAAAAGGCGCGCGAGCGCCCUUGACAGUACCUGACUAAGAAGCCCCGGCCAACUACGUG